GCUCGCGUGGCUCAGUGGUAGAGCACUCCCUUGGUAAGGGAGAGGUCGUGGGUUCAAUUCCCACCGUGAGCUCCA
rnacentral:tRNA from 1 species